AUUGAACGCUGGCGGCAGGCCUAACACAUGCAAGUCGAACGAGUGGCGGACGGGUGUGUCAUGUCUGGGAACCUGCCUGAUGGAGGGGGAUAACUCCUGGAAACGGUAGCAAAUACCGCAUACCAUCGGAUGUGCCCAGAUGGGAUUAGCUAGUAGGUGGGGUAAAGGCUCACCUAGGACACGGUCACUAGCUGGUCUGAGAGGAUGACCAGCCACACUGGAACUGAGACACGGUCCAUACUCCUACGGGAGGCAGCAGUGGGGAAUCUUGCGCAAUGGGCGCAAGCCUGAUGCAGCCAUGCCGCGUGAGUGAAGAAGGCCUUCGGGUUGUAAAGUACUUUCAGCGGGGAGGCGUUACCCGCAGAGAAAGCACCGGCUAACUCCGUGCCAGCAGCCGCGGUAAUUC
rnacentral:rRNA from 1 species